UACAGGGGGUGCAAACGUUGCUCGGAAUCAUUGGGCGUAAAGCGCACGUAGGCGGUUCGUUAUGUCGGAUGUGAAAGCCCUUGGCUCAACUGAGGAAGUGCAUCCGAAACUGGCAAGCUAGAGUAUGUAAGAGGGUCGCGGAAUUCCCGGUGUAGAGGUGAAAUUCGUAGAUAUCGGGAGGAACACCGGUGGCGAAGGCGGCGACCUGGGACAAUACUGACGCUGAGGUGCGAAAGCGUGGGGAGCAAACAGG
rnacentral:rRNA from 1 species